CCUACGGGAGGCUGCAGUGAGGAAUAUUGGUCAAUGGACGAGAGUCUGAACCAGCCAAGUAGCGUGAAGGAUGACUGCCCUAUGGGUUGUAAACUUCUUUUAUAUGGGAAUAAAAUGUUCCACGUGUGGGAUUUUGUAUGUACCAUAUGGAUAAGGAUCGGCUAACUCCGUGCCAGCAGCCGCGGUAAUACGGAGGAUCCGAGCGUUAUCCGGAUUUAUUGGGUUUAAAGGGAGCGUAGGUGGAUUGUUAAGUCAGUUGUGAAAGUUUGCGGCUCAACCGUAAAAUUGCAGUUGAAACUGGCAGUCUUGAGUACAGUAGAGGUGGGCGGAAUUCGUGGUGUAGCGGUGAAAUGCUUAGAUAUCACGAAGAACUCCGAUUGCGAAGGCAGUUCACUGGACUGCAACUGACACUGAGGCUCGAAAGUGUGGGUAUCAAACAGGAUUAGAUACCCUAGUAGU
rnacentral:rRNA from 1 species